CCGAACCGACUAAUGUUGAAAAAUUAGCGGAUGACCUGUGGCUGGGGGUGAAAGGCCAAUCAAACCGGGAGAUAGCUGGUUCUCCCCGAAAGCUAUUUAGGUAGCGCCUCGUGAAUUCAUCUCCGGGGGUAGAGCACUGUUUCGGCUAGGGGGCCAUCCCGGCUUACCAACCCGAUGCAAACUGCGAAUACCGGAGAAUGUUAUCACGGGAGACACACGGCGGGUGCUAACGUCCGUCGUGAAGAGGGAAACAACCCAGACCGCCAGCUAAGGUCCCAAAGUCAUGGUUAAGUGGGAAACGAUGUGGGAAGGCCCAGACAGCCAGGAUGUUGGCUUAGAAGCAGCCAUCAUUUAAAGAAAGCGUAAUAGCUCACUGGUCGAGUCGGCCUGCGCGGAAGAUGUAACGGGGCUAAACCAUGCACCGAAGCUGCGGCAGCGACACUGUGUG
rnacentral:rRNA from 2 species